AGAGUUUGAUCAUGGCUCAGAUUGAACGCUGGCGGCAUGCCUUACAUAUGCAAGUCGAACGGCAGCACGGGAGUAAUCCUGGUGGCGAGUGGCGAACGGGUGAGUAAUAUAUCGGAACGUGCCCAAUCGUGGGGGAUAACGCAGCGAAAGCUGUGCUAAUACCGCAUAAGAUCUAUGGAUGAAAGCGGGGGAUCGCAAGACCUCGCGCGAAUGGAGCGGCCGAUAUCAGAUUAGCUAGUUGGUGGGGUAAAGGCUCACCAAGGCGACGAUCUGUAGCUGGUCUGAGAGGACGACCAGCCACACUGGAACUGAGACACGGUCCAGACUCCUACGGGAGGCAGCAGUGGGGAAUUUUGGACAAUGGGCGCAAGCCUGAUCCAGCAAUGCCGCGUGCAGGAUGAAGGCCUUCGGGUUGUAAACUGCUUUUGUACGAAGCGAAACGGUCAUCUCUAAUAAAGGUGGCUAAUGACGGUACCGUAAGAAUAAGCACCGGCUAACUACGUGCCAGCAGCCGCGGUAAUACGUAGGGUGCGAGCGUUAAUCGGAAUUACUGGGCGUAAAGCGUGCGCAGGCGGUUUUGUAAGACAGAUGUGAAAUCCCCGGGCUCAACCUGGGACCUGCAUUUGUGACUGCAAAGCUAGAGUACGGUAGAGGGGGAUGGAAUUCCGCGCGUAGCAGUGAAAUGCGUAGAUAUGCGGAGGAACACCGAUGGCGAAGGCAAUCCCCUGGACCUGUACUGACGCUCAUGCACGAAAGCGUGGGGAGCAAACAGGAUUAGAUACCCUGGUAGUCCACGCCCUAAACGAUGUCAACUGGUUGUUGGGUCUUUGCUGACUCAGUAACGAAGCUAACGCGUGAAGUUGACCGCCUGGGGAGUACGGCCGCAAGGUUGAAACUC
rnacentral:rRNA from 1 species